ensembl:lincRNA
GUUUAAUGGCAAAGGCUCUGGAAAAUUCUUUUGCAACAGUUCAUCACCGUUGAUAUAAUCCUAAUUAAAAUUAUCGGACUCCAGUUUUGGUGGAGAUGUAAAUUUGCUAGUGUCUUUGAAGGGCAAUUUAGUCAUAUUCAUGAAAAUUAAAAUUGCAUUUGGCCUUUGACAUAGAAAUUUUACUUCUGGAAAUUUACAGAGAAAGUUGCACGUGUGCACGUACAUACAAGGAUAUUACCACACUACUCUAGUGUUGUUUGUAAUAACAAAAGAUUGAAAAAAUAUUAAUGUCCUCCAGUAAGAAACUGAUUAAAAUUCAGUAUGAGACAUCCAUUGUAACCAAAGCUAGGCGGCCUUGAAAAAGUGUCACUCAGCGACAGGGCUCGGCCCACCCUCAUGCAAACCCACCCCGCGGUAUGAGGCCAGGAGGGUGCGGUCACGAGGGGCCCAGGAAGUGUGUCCAAUGAUUGAAGCAGCCCCCCCACCCUGGCGGUCCUGAGUCUGGGUCGCGCCCUGGUGUAUCUCUUUUGACGUCUACUACCCACAGCCUGGAGGAGGAAAGUGGCGGCGAGGAGCAACUGCACGCGACUCGGGACCUUGCCCUUCUCCGCGGCCAGCGUCACAAUGGCAACCGCGGGCAGCCGGGCACUGAGGGCUGGAAAAUGAGGACCCGAGCCAGGUUACAGCCUUGGACUUCGAGCAGCCCAGGGAGAGUCUCUGCGUCCUCCAGCCCCCGCUUCCCUUCAUGUCGGAGAUGCUAAGCCCGCAGCUAAGUCUGCAAAGAGCUUUCCCCGACGCCCACAAGACCGGAAGUGCCUGGGCCCAGGUGGAGGAAGGACCCGCGUGGCCUCCUCUGCGCCCUCCCUGGCGUCCGCGCCCGUUCCGGCGCUUCUCCCGCGUCCUUCACCAUGGCAACUUCUGGCGUUGGGAGCGUGGGCCGCGAGCCAGGAGCACCCUUCAAGGAGAAUUAGACAAAUUGGAGUCUACUCGGAAGAGGCUGUUGGGAAUGGCCCUGACACCACAUCCUGAGCAGGGAUGGCCGAUGGAAUGGGGAGAAGACUCAGGAAGUGCGAACCAUUUUGCCUGGCACAGUACUUGACCCUGGGGGCACAAUGAAGAUCAGGUUCAGGAUCAAGGUGGUCUCUGCCCUGUGGUGCUUUUACGGAGGAGAGUCAGGUAAGCAGGCAAUUAUCAUGCCUUCUGUGGUUAUAAUAGAAGCUCAGA